CCAAACUUGGUCAUUUAGAGGAAGUAAAAGUCGUAACAAGGUCUCCGUUGGUGAACCAGCGGAGGGAUCAUUACCGAGUCACGAGCUCCCAAACCCCCUGCGAACCGUACCGACGUUGCCUCGGCGGGCCGCCCGCGCCCGCCGGAGGACCCCAAGGCUCCCGCUUGCGCCGCGUCUGCCCUCUGAGUGACGAAGAAUGAGUCAAAACUUUCAACAACGGAUCUCUUGGUUCUGGCAUCGAUGAAGAACGCAGC
rnacentral:misc_RNA from 1 species